UUUUAUGGAGAGUUUGAUCCUGGCUCAGGAUGAACGCUGGCGGCGUGCCUAAUACAUGCAAGUCGAGCGAACGGACGAGAAGCUUGCUUCUCUGAUGUUAGCGGCGGACGGGUGAGUAACACGUGGAUAACCUACCUAUAAGACUGGGAUAACUUCGGGAAACCGGAGCUAAUACCGGAUAAUAUUUUGAACCGCAUGGUUCAAAAGUGAAAGACGGUCUUGCUGUCACUUAUAGAUGGAUCCGCGCUGCAUUAGCUAGUUGGUAAGGUAACGGCUUACCAAGGCAACGAUGCAUAGCCGACCUGAGAGGGUGAUCGGCCACACUGGAACUGAGACACGGUCCAGACUCCUACGGGAGGCAGCAGUAGGGAAUCUUCCGCAAUGGGCGAAAGCCUGACGGAGCAACGCCGCGUGAGUGAUGAAGGUCUUCGGAUCGUAAAACUCUGUUAUUAGGGAAGAACAUAUGUGUAAGUAACUGUGCACAUCUUGACGGUACCUAAUCAGAAAGCCACGGCUAACUACGUGCCAGCAGCCGCGGUAAUACGUAGGUGGCAAGCGUUAUCCGGAAUUAUUGGGCGUAAAGCGCGCGUAGGCGGUUUUUUAAGUCUGAUGUGAAAGCCCRCGGCUCAACCGUGGAGGGUCAUUGGAAACUGGAAAACUUGAGUGCAGAAGAGGAAAGUGGAAUUCCAUGUGUAGCGGUGAAAUGCGCAGAGAUAUGGAGGAACACCAGUGGCGAAGGCGACUUUCUGGUCUGUAACUGACGCUGAUGUGCGAAAGCGUGGGGAUCAAACAGGAUUAGAUACCCUGGUAGUCCACGCCGUAAACGAUGAGUGCUAAGUGUUAGGGGGUUUCCGCCCCUUAGUGCUGCAGCUAACGCAUUAAGCACUCCGCCUGGGGAGUACGACCGCAAGGUUGAAACUCAAAGGAAUUGACGGGGACCCGCACAAGCGGUGGAGCAUGUGGUUUAAUUCGAAGCAACGCGAAGAACCUUACCAAAUCUUGACAUCCUUUGACAACUCUAGAGAUAGAGCYUUCCCCUUCGGGGGACAAAGUGACAGGUGGUGCAUGGUUGUCGUCAGCUCGUGUCGUGAGAUGUUGGGUUAAGUCCCGCAACGAGCGCAACCCUUAAGCUUAGUUGCCAUCAUUAAGUUGGGCACUCUAAGUUGACUGCCGGUGACAAACCGGAGGAAGGUGGGGAUGACGUCAAAUCAUCAUGCCCCUUAUGAUUUGGGCUACACACGUGCUACAAUGGACAAUACAAAGGGCAGCGAAACCGYGAGGUCAAGCAAAUCCCAUAAAGUUGUUCUCAGUUCGGAUUGUAGUCUGCAACUCGACUACAUGAAGCUGGAAUCGCUAGUAAUCGUAGAUCAGCAUGCUACGGUGAAUACGUUCCCGGGUCUUGUACACACCGCCCGUCACACCACGAGAGUUUGUAACACCCGAAGCCGGUGGAGUAACCUUUUAGGAGCUAGCCGUCGAAGGUGGGASAAAUGAUUGGGGUGAAGUCGUAACAAGGUAGCCGUAU
rnacentral:rRNA from 1 species